AACUAACGCUGGCGGCGUGCCUAAUACAUGCAAGUCGAACGCGAAAGUCCUUCGGGAUGAGUAGAGUGGCGCACGGGUGAGAAACACGUGGGUAAUCUGCCCAGAAGUGGGGAAUAACUCCUCGAAAGAGGAGCUAAUACCGCAUAAGACCACGACAACUAAGGUUGUUGGGGUUAAAGGUGAUCUCUGUUUACAAGUUCUCGUUUCUGGAUUAGCCUGCGCAACAUUAGCUAGUUGGUGGGGUAAUGGCCUACCAAGGCUACGAUGUUUAGCUGGUCUGAGAGGAUGAUCAGCCACACUGGAACUGAGACACGGUCCAGACUCCUACGGGAGGCAGCAGUAGGGAAUAUUGCUCAAUGGGGGAAACCCUGAAGCAGCAACGCCGCGUGAGUGAUGAAGGCCUUCGGGUCGUAAAGCUCUGUUGUACGGGGAGAACGUGGGUAUGGCUAACAUCCAUAUCCAGUGACGGUACCGUAUAAGAAAGGGACGGCUAAC
rnacentral:rRNA from 1 species